GAUGAAUUCAUAAAAGAAGGAACAGGAAAGGAAACAGUAGCAUACAAGUAGCCUAUCAUCACUACCACCAACUCUUUUAUUAAAAAUCUUCAUUCUGCUGAAUGCAUCAUACAGUUAAUACAGCAGUUUUUGUUGAUCUUGGUAGGUCACUACCCCAGUGUGGACAUAUUGUUUUUCUGAACAUGUUUUUCAACAAAUAAUUCAUUGAUGUACAAGGAAAGCUAUGAAAAAUAUCAUCAUCUAGGCCAUGGGUAAUCUUCAGGUUUAUUGCAGCAGCUUAAGAGAAAAAUAUGAACAUAUGCAGGGCACAUACCAACAUGUGUUGUAUUUUUCUGAAUGUUAAACACAAGCAGUAGAUUCAACAUGCCAAAGUUAGUUGGAACUCAACUCACUGUACGAGUGUACACACUCUAACCCAGAUAACUGGUGCUUUUGCCUUUCAGCCAAAGGCAGGAAAAUUAUUCUUUUCUUCAGAAAAUUGGAAAGCUGCUGGAGUAAUCUGGUGUUCAUGCUCAUUUGAUUCAUUUCGUGCCAGUUAGUGAAAGCCGAAAGGCAUGUCGAAUUCAAUUGAGCCGUGCUGUCUCGAAGCAAGCAAUCCAGCCGUUGCGUUCAGUCAUUUGGAACAGGAAUCUAAUGGCUGUCAAUAGGUGGCUAUGAAUAAUGUCCACCAGGUGCGCGAGUGUCUUCAGGUGUGAAUAGCGGCCAUUUUUUUCCAAGACGCAGCAGAAAUGGGUUGUUGGUUGUGACGUACCUCGCGAUGAAAAUUAAAAGGUGAUUCAGCACGUAGAAACCAAUUUGCCAAAUCAUUCAACUCAGACUUGGAAGUGCCUGUACAUUUCCGAAAUGGCGUGCCUCGUGCGUCUCGCUGCCUGUUCUUUGGCGUACGUCUCAUCCCAUUCAACAGCAAAAAGUAUAACAAACACUUCUUUAACACUGUUGGUUACCUUGUUGCAGCCGAAUGGUGAAAGGUGUGACGAAGACAGAUUGAACCAUUGUAUGCAGCAUGUGGUUGCAGUUUAAUCCAGAAGUUGCUGUGCUGUUGUAGCUGAGCUGUUCCAUCUGAGUUCCUGACUUCAAAAUUUUUGUGUUGUCAUUUUCAUCCAUGCCAUGAAAUUGCUCUGUGCUAACUGCAGUAUACGACUGAGGCAACCUGAUCUAUAUCAGGUUUGACACAGUCGAGAACUGCUAGAUUAAACAAGCUUUCUGCGCCAAACAAAUAAUAACUUGCAUAUAACUUGCAUCAUGUUAUUAUCGCGGUAGAGAAAGCGACAGGCCCCCCCCCCUGGGGGCCACAGGAA
rnacentral:lncRNA from 1 species